rnacentral:rRNA from 1 species
CCUACGGGAGGCAGCAGUGGGGAAUAUUGCACAAUGGGGGAAACCCUGAUGCAGCGACGCCGCGUGAAGGAAGAAGGAUUUCGGUAUGUAAACUUCUAUCAGCAGGGAAGAAAAUGACGGUACCUGACCAAGAAGGCACGGCUAACAACGGGCAAGCAGCCGCGGUAAUACGCAGGGGGCAAGCGUUAUCCGGAUUUACGGGGUGUAAAGGGAGCGUAGGCGGUUUAGCAAGUCAGAAGUGAACGCCCGGGGCUCAACUACGGGACUGCUUUUGAAACUGUUGAACUAGAUUGCAGGAGAGGUAAGUGGAAUUCCUAGUGUAGCGGUGAAAUGCGUAGAUAUUAGGAGGAACACCAGUGGCGAAGGCGGCUUACUGGACUGUAACUGACGCUGAGGCUCGAAAGCGUGGGUAGCAAACAGGAUUAGAUACCCUUGUAGUC